GAUGAACGCUGGCGGCGUGCCUAAUACAUGCAAGUCGAGCGAAGCGGGGACGGGUGAGUAACCCGUGGAUACCCUCCUCUAAGACUGGGAUACCUUCGGGAAACCGGAGCUAAACCGGAUAUUUAUAUGUGGAUCCGCGCUGCAUUGGCUAGUUGGUAAGGUAACGGCUGACCAAGGCAACGAUGCAUAGCCGACCUGAGAGGGGGAUCGGCCACACUGGAACUGAGACACGGUCCAGACUCCUACGGGAGGCAGCAGUAGGGAAUCUGCCGCAAUGGGCGAAAGCCUGACGGAGCAACGCCGCGUGAGUGAUGAAGGUCUUCGGAGCGUAAAACGCUGUUAUUAGGGAAGCGGUACCUAAGCAGAAAGCCACGGCUAACUACGUGCCAGCCGCCGCGGUAAUAC
rnacentral:rRNA from 1 species